rnacentral:hammerhead_ribozyme from 1 species
GAACUGCUGAAGAGUCCCAUACUAGAACGAAACGGCCGUCUAAUGC